rnacentral:rRNA from 1 species
GGGGGAAUAUUGCACAAUGGGGGAAACCCUGAUGCAGCGACGCCGCGUGAGCGAAGAAGGUUUUCGAAUCGUAAAGCUCUGUCCUAUGGGAAGAUAAUGACGGUACCAUAGGAGGAAGCCCCGGCUAACUACGUGCCAGCAGCCGCGGUAAUACGUAGGGGGCAAGCGUUGUCCGGAAUCACUGGGCGUAAAGGGUUCGCAGGCGGAAAUGCAAGUCAGUUGUGAAAGGCAGAGGCUCAACCUCUGUAAGCAAUUGAAACUGUAUUUCUUGAGAUGUGGAGAGGCAAGUGGAAUUCCUAGUGUAGCGGUGAAAUGCGUAGAUAUUAGGAAGAAUACCGGUGGCGAAGGCGACUUGCUGGACACAAACUGACGCUGAGGAACGAAAGCGUGGGUAGCAAACAGG